GACAGAGGUCCCAAGCGUUAGGCGGAAUCACUGGGCUUAAAGCGUGUGUAGGCGGAUCCGUAAGUACCUUGUGAAAUCCCACGGCUCAACCGUGGAACUGCUGGGUAUACUGCGGGUCUUGAGCCACCUAGGGGCGAGCGGAACAAGUGGUGGAGCGGUGAAAUGCGUAGAUAUCACUUGGAACGCCAAUGGUGAAAACAGCUCGCUGGGGGUGUGGCUGACGCUGAGACACGAAAGACCAGGGGAGCAAACGGG
rnacentral:rRNA from 1 species